rnacentral:rRNA from 1 species
CCCUACGGGGCGCAGCAGUGAGGAAUAUUGGUCAAUGGGAGAGAUCCUGAACCAGCCAAGCCGCGUGAGGGAAGACGGCCCUAUGGGUUGUAAACCUCUUUUGUCGGAGAACAAAACCCGGGACGUGUCCCGGACUGCGUGUAUCCGAAGAAAAAGCAUCGGCUAACUCCGUGCCAGCAGCCGCGGUAAUACGGAGGAUGCGAGCGUUAUCUGGAUUUAUUGGGUUUAAAGGGUGCGUAGGCGGUCCGUUAAGUCAGCGGUAAAAUUGCGGGGCUCAACCCCGUCGAACCGUUGAAACUGGCAGA